rnacentral:lncRNA from 1 species
GGAUCAGUAGAAUUUGGGAAUCAACGAUGCCACAGCUUAAGAAAGAUAUUUUGAGCCUAGAUUGUCUUCUUAUAGAUGAAGAGGUUUGCGCAGCAUUUUCUUUUUUCUUAUGGAAUACAAAAAACAUAUAAUUUUUUAUAAUAGUAUUCUAAAUGAAAAUUUUCUCUGUUAGGGAUAUGCAAUGCAGGCAACAAUUCGCAAAUAUGAUGCAGAUACUUUCAGAGCACUACUUGCUGAAGGCAGUGCAUAUAUCAUUGAAAAUUUUAAUGUUCUACCAAGCAGGAACAGUUACAAAGUUGUUGAUCGCAAAUACACAGUCCAGAUUAGUAAAUGGACACGCAUUGUUGAAACAAAAGAGGAUAUUGCUGCAAUUCCUUUUUUUAGUUUUUACUUUCUCAGUUUUGAUU